UAAGGAAUAUUGCGCAAUGGGCGAAAGCCUGACGCAGCAACGCCGCGUGCGGGAUGAAGGCCCUCGGGUUGUAAACCGCUUUCAGUAGGGAAGAAAAUGACGGUACCUACAGAAGAAGCCCCGGCCAACUACGUGCCAGCAGCCGCGGUAACACGUAGGGGGCGAGCGUUGUCCGGAUUUAUUGGGCGUAAAGAGCUCGUAGGCGGUUUCGUAAGUCGGAUGUGAAAACUCCAGGCUCAACUUGGAGACGCCAUUCGAUACUGCGAUGACUUGAGUCCGGUAGGGGAGUGUGGAAUUCCUGGUGUAGCGGUGAAAUGCGCAGAUAUCAGGAGGAACACCGGCGGCGAAGGCGGCACUCUGGGCCGGUACUGACGCUGAGGAGCGAAAGCGUGGGUAGCAAACAGG
rnacentral:rRNA from 1 species